UCGCUCCUACCGAUUGAAUGAUCCGGCGAAAUCUUUGGACCGUGACACUGUGCCGGGAAACUGGUGUAGUGUCGUUGGGAAGUUGAUUAAACCUUAUCAUUUAGAGGAAGGAG
rnacentral:rRNA from 1 species